GACGAACGCUGGCGGCGUGCCUAAUACAUGCAAGUAGAACGCACAGUUUAUACCUUAGCUUGCUACACCAUAGACUGUGAGUUGCUAACGGGUGAGUAACGCGUAGGUAACCUGCCUGUUAGCGGGGGAUAACUAUUUGAAACGAUAGCUAAUACCUCAUAAUAUUGAUUAUUGCAUGAUAAUUGAUUGAAAGAUGCUAUUGCAUCACUACCAGAUGGACCUGCGUUGUAUUAGCUAGUAGGUGAGGUAACGGCUCACCUAGGCGACGAUACAUAGCCGACCUGAGAGGGUGAUCGGCCACACUGGGACUGAGACACGGCACAGACUCCUACGGGAGGCAGCAGUAGGGAAUCUUAGGCAAUGGACGAAAGUCUGACCGAGCAACGCCGCGUGAGUGAAGAAGGUUUUCGGAUCGGAAAGCUCUGUUGUAAGAGAAGAACGGGUGUGAGAGUGGAAAGUUCACACUGUGACGGUAUCUUACCAGAAAGGGACGGCUAACUACGU
rnacentral:rRNA from 1 species